GGCAGUUUGGCCGAGUGGUCUAAGGCGAUUGAGUAUGUAUCAAUUCUCUUCGGAGGCGUGUGUUCGAAUCACACAGCUGUCG
rnacentral:tRNA from 1 species